ACAUAUUUUAGAGCCUAAUUCACUUUAAUUAAUAAUUAAAAUUACAUUCAAAUCCAAAUUCAAUAUUUCUAAUGCUAAAAAUUCUCCUCAAAUAAAAUUAUUGUAAUCCAUCUCUACUUUUGUAAGCUGCACCUUGAUCUGAUUUUUAUUAUAAUUAUAAAUCAAAAUUAUAUAUAUCAAAAAAUAAUUUGUAACGAUGAUAUACAAACAAAACAAAAGUUUUAUUAAUCGUGGAUUAUCGAUUACAGGACAGAUUCCCCUGAUUGGAAUAAAAAACCGCCAAAUUUUUUGAUUUUAAAGAACAUAACUAACAUUUAUCCAGUCUAACCUUUCUCUACGUCUAGAAUAAUGGGGUAUCUAAUCCCAGUUUAAAGCCUAGAUUUCUUAAAUUCAUAAACAAAAAAUUAAUUAAAUAAAAAAUAGGAUUUCACCCAAUAUUCAUUAAAAUAAAAAUAGUUAUUAUUAAUUAAGUAUAAACCGAAAAAAAAUAGUAGUGUCAUUUGUUUAACCGCA
rnacentral:rRNA from 1 species